AGGGAGAAAGUAUUAUAGUAAAAGGGACUUCAUUUUGUCCUUCAUUAAGUCCUUCUUUGUUCCCACAGCAUCUAGGAGCUGGAUGCAGAAGAGGACAAGACUGGAGGACCUACUUCCCACACCUCCACCAUUCUCAGGUUCAUCCUAAUCUGAGCAGAGAAAAGAUUGAAGCCCUUCUGAUGACCCAUGGAAUCCCAGACCUCUUGGAACGAAGGCAGCAAGUAGGAGCUCCCAGACAAGAGGGGGUGGGACAACCAG
rnacentral:lncRNA from 1 species